AACGAACGCUGGCGGCAUGCCUAACACAUGCAAGUCGAACGAGACCUUCGGGUCUAGUGGCGCACGGGUGCGUAACGCGUGGGAACCUGCCCUUAGGUUCGGAAUAACUCCCCGAAAGGGGUGCUAAUACCGGAUAAUGUCUUCGGACCAAAGAUUUAUCGCCUUUGGAUGGGCCCGCGUUGGAUUAGCUAGUUGGUAGGGUAAAAGCCUACCAAGGCGGGGAUCCAUAGCUGGUCGGAGAGGAUGAACAUCCAGACUGGGACAGGGACCAGGCCCAGACGGGAGGGAGCAGUGGGGAAGGGGACAAAAGGGGAGGGGGCCAAAGGCAGCAACGCCAAGGGCGGGAGGAGGGCGAAGGGGUUGGGAUUCGAAUGCUCUUGUGACGAGGCGGGAAUGACGGGAACGGGGAAAAAAGCCCCGGCUAACUACGUG
rnacentral:rRNA from 1 species